rnacentral:lncRNA from 1 species
GUUGACAGAUGACUAUGUCCAAUUCAGCCAGCUUGCUUCAUUUAUAAUUAUUGUUGGAAGCAAUUUUUUUUUGUUUGCCUAAAUGCAGAAAUGGAUGCAAGUUGUAUAAUCUUUGUACUCACCUUUUUUUGGGGAUAUGUUAAUGCCAUUAACUGUGAGUUCCAUCAGUUGUAUAAGAGUUGCCAUUAAUUUUUGUUUUUGUAAAUUUGAUUGUUU